AAAUCCAAGUAUCAACAUUAUAAGAAAAGAGUAGUAAGGUAGAAGAAAUGAGUAGCAUGCAAGGAACUACCCAAGUUUUCCUACGCCCAAAAGAUCGACAAUAAUAUGUAUCUACUAUUGGACUCCACAGAACCUUUAAACUGUAAGGGUAUGCAGCCAAAGAAUAUGUGGCAAGAUCUGAGUAGCUAACGUUUGGCUUCAAGAAAUACGGGAUGCUUCCUCUAACUAAUCCCAUAGGAACACCCUGAAUAAGAUCUUGAAUUGUUA